rnacentral:rRNA from 1 species
UACGGAGGAUCCAAGCGUUAUCCGGAAUCAUUGGGUUUAAAGGGUCCGUAGGCGGCUUUAUAAGUCAGUGGUGAAAUCCCAUCGCUUAACGAUGGAACUGCCAUUGAUACUGUAGAGCUUGAAUUUUUGUGAAGUAACUAGAAUAUGUAGUGUAGCGGUGAAAUGCUUAGAUAUUACAUGGAAUACCAAUUGCGAAGGCAGGUUACUAACAAACAAUUGACGCUGAUGGACGAAAGCGUGGGGAGCGAACAGG